UACGGGGGAGCAAGCGUUGUUCGGAUUUACUGGGCGUAAAGGGCGCGUAGGCGGCGUGACAAGUCACUUGUGAAAUCUCCGGGCUUAACUCGGAACGGUCAAGUGAUACUGUCGUGCUAGAGUACAGAAGGGCAACUGGAAUCUCGGUGUAGCGGUGAAUGCGUAGAUAUCGAGAGGAACACCUGCGGCGAAGGCGGGUUGCUGGGCUGAUACUGACGCUGAGGCGCGAAAGCCAGGGGAGCGAACGGG
rnacentral:rRNA from 1 species